AUUAUACUCCCUCCGUCCGGAAAUACUUGUCAUCAAAAUGGACAAAAAGGGAUGUAUCUGAAACAUUUAGAUACAUCCCUUUUUGUCCAUUUUGAUGACAAGUAUUUUCGGACGGAGGGAGUAUAUA
rfam:Triticum aestivum genome assembly, contig: Triticum_aestivum_CS42_TGACv1_scaffold_019392_1AS